UACGGGGGGAGCAAGCGUUGUUCGGAUUUACUGGGCAUAAGGAGCGCGUAGGCGGCCACCGCAAGUCGAUUGUGAAAUCUCCGGGCUUAACCCGGAAAGGUCAACCGAUACUGCGGGGCUAGAGUGCAGAAGGGGCAACUGGAAUUCUCGGUGUAGCGGUGAAAUGCGUAGAUAUCGAGAGGAACACCUGCGGCGAAGGCGGGUUGCUGGGCUGACACUGACGCUGAAGUGCGAAAGCUAGGGGAGCGAACGGG
rnacentral:rRNA from 1 species